UACGUAGGUGGCAAGCGUUGUCCGGAAUUAUUGGGUCGUAAAGCGCGCGCAGGCGGUCCUUUAAGUCUGAUGUGAAAGCCCACGGCUCAACCGUGGAGGGUCAUUGGAAACUGGGGGACUUGAGUGCAGAAGAGGAAAGUGGAAUUCCACGUGUAGCGGUGAAAUGCGUAGAGAUGUGGAGGAACACCAGUGGCGAAGGCGGCUACCUGGACCGGUUCUGACGCUGAGGCGCGAAAGCGUGGGUAGCAAACAGG
rnacentral:rRNA from 1 species